CACAUCCUACGGGGCGCAGCAGUGAGGAAUAUUGGUCAAUGGGCUUACGCCUGAACCAGCCAAGUCGCGUGAGGGAAGACGGCCCUAUGGGUUGUAAACCUCUUUUGUCGGAGAACAAAACCCGGGACGUGUCCCGGACUGCGUGUAUCCGAAGAAAAAGCAUCGGCUAACUCCGUGCCAGCAGCCGCGGUAAUACGGAGGAUGCGAGCGUUAUCCGGAUUUAUUGGGUUUAAAGGGGGCGUAGGCGGUCCGUUAAGUCAGCGGUAAAAUUUCG
rnacentral:rRNA from 1 species